rnacentral:tRNA from 1 species
GCGCAGGUGGUGUAGCGGUAGCAUAGCAGCCUUCCAAGCUGUUGAUCCGGGUUCGACUCCCGGCUUGCGCA